AAAGGGCAAUUACCCUUUAACCACCAAUCUGACAUUUAUAGAUUUUUUUUCUUCUUUUAUUACAUCACAUCCAAAGGGCACUAUGUCCUCCCAAGCUUCCUUCCAGUUCAGGAUGAUAGACUGCAUAUGCCUCUAUGCUUGCUCUUGUACAUGUGUUUACUCUUGUACAGCCUACGCAGAGCUUUUUUCUCCCCACACACGAGUCACUCCUCUAACUUCCUACAGAUCCCUACAAAUAUUUUCACUCAUCCUGGCUCAAAUACUCAUUUCAUUCCUAUCAUUCCAGGAUGUUCGAGGAAGUUGUAUCCUUUUGAUCCACAUUCCAUUAUAGGACACCCAGACCCUGAUAUUUCCUAUGAGAGGAUCAAAAUGGGAACUUGGCAGGCGGGAAGGUGAGGCAGGUGAGAAGAUGUCACGGCUGAGGAAUGCUGGGAGGUGACUGCUGUCUGCGAUUGUAUCUUUCCCUGACAGUUACAAAACAAAAAAAAAGACAGCAGAGACUGAGCUUUUUCCAGAAGCUGUUAAAUCAUGACAACUACAUCUGCUUCAUGAUGUUCAUUAGUUAAACAUUCUCACAGAUGAAGUACAGGAAAUAUAAUCAAACAUUAAACUAAAAAAAAAAAAAAAUGUAAUAAUUACAGUUUUACAGACAUUAUUUUUGGUGUCUGGAUUUUUGUUAUUAAUUAGGAUUAAUAACAAAAUUACUGGUUACAACCCUGAGCUUGUGAUUUUUACUUUUAUUAAACUUCAAAUUAAAUAUCA